rnacentral:lncRNA from 1 species
AAUAGAACACUUAGGAUAUACGGGACUAUACAGAGAGCACAAAUGUGCUAAACGGAGAGCACUAACGUGCUAGUGAUCAGAGAGCGUGCUAAUAAUCAGAGAGCACAGAUGUGCUAGACAGAGAGCACUAACGUGCUAAAUAUCAGAGAGCACAGAUGUGCUAAACAGAGAGCACUAACGUGCUAAAUAUCAGAGAGCAC